rnacentral:miRNA from 1 species
CGGGACCCGGAGCGCGCGGCCGGGGCGGUGACGAGAGCCCGGGGCGGAGGCGGAGGCGGAGGCUGAGGC